rnacentral:rRNA from 1 species
UACGUAGGGGGCUAGCGUUGUCCGGAUUUAUUGGGCGUAAAGCGCGUGUAGGCGGCCAAGUAGGUCCGGUGUGAAAACUCGAGGCUUAACCUCGAGAUGUCAUCGGAAACCAUUUGGCUAGAGUCCGGAAGAGGAAAGUGGAAUUCCAGGUGUAGCGGUGAAAUGCGUAGAUAUCUGGAGGAACAGCGGUGGCGAAGGCGGCAUCCUGGACCGGUAUUGACGCUGAGGCGCGAAAGCCAGGGGAGCAAACGGG